rnacentral:lncRNA from 10 species
UCGUAUCUGGUCAAGUGUCCUCACCCCUGCCUUCCCUCCUGCUAAGGUCUAAGCACCAGCGUGGUGGCCACCCCAGCAGCCUUGGACCCCUGAAGGCUUGAGCACCAAAGCACACACAGCUGCCUCUGGCUGAGUUCUGUGGUCGCCUGCACCCCCUCCACCUGCUUCCCCCGGAGGAUGGAUCAUGAAGAGUGGAAUUGCUUUUCCUCUUGGGGCAGGCACACCAACAGUGUAUGUGAGGCCCCUGCUCCCACUCCCCAGGCUGGCCAGUACUUUGGGCCAAUCUGCUAGACCCAAAAAUGUUAAUCUCACUGAGAUUUAAUUUGCAUUCCCCUGACUACCGGUGAAGUUGAGCAUCUUUUCAUAUGUUUAUUGACAAUUUGCAUUUCUUAUUCAGUAAAUUACCUGCUCGUAUCCUAGAGUCAUAUUUCUGUCUGCCCGUUUUUUUCUAUUCAAUUUGUGGGAGCUCUUUGUAUACCUGGGAUCUAAUCUUUGACUCAUAUAUAUGGCAAGUAUUUUCUAUUACUGUUGUCAACUUUUUAUCAUAGUAAAAUUCUUACAUCCAGC